AAUCUUGCACAAUGGGCGAAAGCCUGAUGCAGCAACGCCGCGUGGGUGAUGAAGGCCUUAGGGUUGUAAAUCCCUUUUGCCGGGGAAGAAUUUUGACGGUACCCGGCGAAUAAGCCACGGCUAACUACGUGCCAGCAGCCGCGGUAAGACGUAGGUGGCGAGCGUUAUCCGGAUUUACUGGGCGUAAAGCGUACGUAGGCGGCUCCAUAAGUCUGUCGUGAAAUCUCCCGGCUCAACCGGGAGCGGCCGAUGGAAACUGUGGCGCUCGAGGGGCGUAGAGGCAAGCGGAAUUCCCGGAGUAGUGGUGGAAUGCGUAGAUACCGGGAGGAACACCAGUGGCGCAAGCGGCUUGCCAGACGCAUCCUGACGCUGAGGUACGAAAGCGUGGGUAGCGAACCGGAUUAGAUACCCGGGUAGUCCACGCCGUA
rnacentral:rRNA from 1 species